rnacentral:rRNA from 1 species
GACGAACGCUGGCGGCGUGCUUAACACAUGCAAGUCGAACGGAAAGGCCCUGCUCUUGUGGGGUGCUCGAGUGGCGAACGGGUGAGUAACACGUGAGUAACCUGCCCUUGUCUUUGGGAUAACUUCAGGAAACUGGGGCUAUUACCGGAUAGGAGCUCCUGCUGCAUGGUGGGGGCUGGAAAGUUUCGGCGGUUGGGUAUGGUCUCGCGGGUUAUCAGCUUGUUGGUGGGGUAGUGGCUUACCAAGGCUUUGACGGGUAGCCGGCCUGAGAGGGUGAACGGCCACAUUGGGACUGAGAUACGGCCCAGACUCCUACGGGAGGCAGCAGUGGGGAAUAUUGCACAAUGGGCGGAAGCCUGAUGCAGCAACGCCGCGUGCGGGAUGCCGGCCUUCGGGUUGUAAACCGCUUUCGACUGUGACGAAGAGUGAGUGACGGUAAUGGGUAAAGAAGCACCGGCUAACUACGUG